CCAAGUGAUCCAACGUCCAUGUUAUUGCUCAACAGCAGCCCGCGGCAUACAGUGGCGGGAAAUGGGCUGGCAGUUCAGCCAAAGGGCUGCUGUCUUUGAUGAUGCAACAAUUGCCUUAUCUGUAACAUGGCAAUCACAGUUCAGAAGGGGAGCUCUUCCACCCUCAGCAACCUCUGUGGCUCAAGCCAAAAACCCGGCAGCUGCCCCCAACUCCUUCCCUCCCAGUCCUGCCCCCAGCAGGAGUCCUGUGGAUCACUGGCCACGUCUGCCCUCUCUCUACUGGCCCAGCCUGGGCUCAGUCAGUCCUCAUCAUCAAUGCCCAGCUCUCUUGAGGAGGGCAUUUGCCUUCAUUGCCAGGGACAGGAUGCCGGCUAGUUGGGGGGAGCAGAGAUCGUUAAUGUGGUAGCAGCAAAGCAUCUGUACAUCCAGACUUGGGAGAAGGAGGUCCAGGCAGAAGGCCAGGGAGAAGGAGCUCAGCUCCAUGCAGGCACAACUGCCUUGAGUUGCAAUUACUCAAAGUGCUAUGAAACCCACCUUUGUUAAGAGGAUGGAGAAAGAGUAACCAGAGGAAAGAAACCUCUGGGAAAAUAAAGACACAAACAUCAAAAGAGAAACUCAUUUCUAGAUAAAGGGAGUGGCCUGUACUCACAGAUGGAGAAAGAGAGAGUCAGUAGAAUAAAGAAGAGCCAAGCAGCUGAUCUCAGAGAGGAGGAAGGAAGAUGGGUGGGCAUGGCCAGAGGGCACACGUCUGGGUCUGCUGAGAGCAUCCCAACAGCUGUGCCCUCCUGAGCCAGGGAGGAGCAAACUAACAAGUGAACACAGCCCCUGCCCUCAGGGGGCUCACUGUCUGGAAGGACAGGCACAUCCUCCACAGAUUAUGCAGUCAGACCAUGAUAAAUCAUAAGAUAAAGCUCUUAACAAGCUGCCAGCAGAACAGCAAUCACGGCAAAUGGAUACUGUCGAGAGCAAUGAGAAAGCAUUUACACCGGGCUUUAAAAGUGAAAUGUGCUAUGGGAAAGAGGAAAAAUGGCAAGGACUUUGCAGAUAAAGACGCUUGCUGGAACUAAGCAGUCCGCUUAGACCUGCUCCUAGCAUAUAUCGUGUCAGUGAACCUCACAACCACUCAAUGUUAUUCUAGCUCCACUUUGAAAGUGUGAAGAUCUCAGAGGAGACGUGCCCAGAAGCUCAGCCAGAAAGUGUCAUUGCAGGCAGCAAAAAAGGGUGUGAGAAGGACAUGAGGAGCAGAAAGCACGUAGUGUUAGGACAGAGUGCUACAGGCCCUCCUCUUCCUCCUCCUCCUCUUCCUCCUCCUCCUCUUCCUCCUCCUCCUCUUUCUCCUCCUCCUCUGCUCAGACCCUGACACUCAGCAGUGCUGCCCACCAGGGAGAGUCCAGGCCCAGACCCUGUUCCCUCCCACUAAUGCCCAGCAUCCCUCUAGAGCUGGGGCCUGGGACAAGACCCUCUGCCCAGCAUGUGCUGCAUCCUCCCUGGGAGCCCAGAUCCCUGAGUCAACUCUGGACCUGCUCAGGGAGAUGUGAGGCCAUUUGAGGCAUGGGGUUGGGGUGUGAACAGAGGGGGAGCUCUGGAGUUAGGCAGGCCUGGGUUUGAAGUCUGCCUCAAGUCCUUCCCAGGGCGUGACCUCCAGCUAAAUGGUAAAUUCUUCUGGUCUUGGUUUUUUCAUCCAUGUGAUGAGAAUAACAAUAAGACCAAUGUCUCGGGACCAAUGAGGAUUUACAAUGUAAAAACUAGAUGUAGACAUCUCACACAGUCACCUGGGCCUUUCAGCAAGGGGCUUGUUGAAUCUUAAUUAUCUGUGAUAUUGUUGGGAAGAGGGGUCUCCCCAGGGCCCUCCUUGCUGCCCUGAGCUGGCCAUGCCAAUCUUCUGAGGGAUGUCCAACUCUGGCCCUUCUCCUUCUUCCCUGCAGCCAUUAGGGGCUGAACCGUGGUGGUCAGCCCUCCUGGGUUUCCCACCUAGUGAGUCUGCUGGCUCCUGCCCAUCUCAGUUGAGCAGCUACAGAUCAGUCAACAGGAGCCCCACCACGGACCACCUGUGAUCACUCCCUGCCACCAUUGCCUCCUACCCACUGAGACAGAAAUCCUCUCUCUGGAGCUGAAAGCCACACACCAUCUCCACACGGGGCUCUUCACAUACCCCUCUCCCCAGCAAAGACCUCGGCUCUCACCUGCCAGCCUCCAUGCCAGUGCUCAUUGCAUUUGUCUGUGCCUGGGCUGUCAGCCACUGUGAACUUGACUUGCCCUUCAAGGACCUAAGCAAAUCCCACACCCUGCACGAGACCUUCCCAGGAGUCACCCACUCCCCUCACAUCCCUGAUGCUCAACUCCCUCUCACUCUACUACCCUCGCUUCGCUGUGCUUCACUGAUAAUUGCCUAUCUGGCUGAGCACCCAGCUGUGGGGCCCGGUGGAGGCUCCACUUGCCAAGAGAUUAGCCUUGGGGAAGAGCUGUGUCUGUCCUGAGGAAGGGGUGCCUUUGACUAACAUGCGCAAAGGUUCUGUGUGGCACCUGCCCUAGGACAGGAAGUGCUGGAUUCAAGGUGGAUCAGGACACACAUGGGACUCGGCUGCCCUUGUGAAGACAGCACCCUUGCCAAUGGAUCUUCAAUUCCGCAGAGACGGGGACCGUGUCUUCUAUUUCAUCCAUUCAGCGAGUAUUGAUUGACCACCUGCCAUGGGUUGUACCAGCAAUGAAUGAGAGUUCCUGUCGCUCCACAUCCUCUCCAGCAUUUGGAAUCGUCAAUGUUUUGGAUUUUGGCCAUUCUAAGAGACUGGAGUAUAAUGGCGUGAUCUCGGCUCACUGCAACCUCAGCCUCCCAGAUUCAAGCGAUUUUCCUGCCUCAGCCUCCCAAGUAGCUAGGAUUAUAGGAACCCUGUUGGCCACGCCCACACAGGCUUUCUGUCAUCUUCAAGGUCGUCUCCAGGAUCUGGGACCAAAUGCUUGAAGAGUAAUAUAGAAAUACGUCCUGAGAACAAGCAGUACGAUACCAAAUAAGACAGCCUAAUCCAGUCGUUGUGUAAGAGGCAUUUCUUUAAAGGAAGUAAAUCUGUCUACAGAAUGCAAUUCUGUCCACCCCUCUCCACCUCCACCACCCUCAUUCAUGAUAACCUGUUAACAUUGUUAUGCAGAGAAACUCAGCUCUUUGGAAAUCCAUUGCCUUUGCUUUGCUUAGUCAGAAGGGUCAUUGCCCAAGAGUGAAUCCAAGAACCCACCUUCAGCAAAAAAGGAAAUCACUGGAACCUUUGAAAUCAUGGCUCGGUUUCAGCUUCAACCCUCCUCAUUAGGACUAUAUAAACCCCAGGACAAUGUUUUCUUUUGAGGACCAAGUUCAGAAUGCCUUGACUUUUUAUUCUUUCAACAGCCUCUGCAAGGUGAUUUCCAAAGCAGGUAGUUUAAGAGCAACAGUAGCUAACAUCACACCAAGCACACUUCACACAUUCUAUCUUGUUUUCCAGCAAGGAGAAUAAAACUCAGAGAGGUUGAGUGGUUUUCGUAACGUUCUAUAGCUAAUAACUGAGAGAACCAGUAUUUGAACCCAGUCAGUCUGGUUCUGGUUCCAGCCCUCUUAACUGCUUUUCAGGUGGGAAAUGAGAGUCCAGUCUGGGAAUGGGAAGAAUUGCAGACCCAUCUCCCCUCUACAGCAGACUGUGGGUACUGUGGCAUUCUCUUGGUGUGGAUUGAGAUCAGUAUCCUUCCAUGGCGUAUAUAGCCAAUAUUCAGUAUUUAGAUGCCAGAGACACUGAAACCUAAUCAGCCUGAACCUGCAAAAUCCUUCCCCUGCCUCCACACUAAUCUGGAGGAGAAUGUAGGUCGGUGACGCAGACUCCUCCACUUCCCCACAGUCAAGGAGAGCCAGGGCCAGAGUGUGGCCCCUUUGGGAUUCCCUUCCUUGCUUUUUUUUUCUUUUCUAUUUAUUUUCUUCUUCUUCUCUUCUUCUUCUUCUUCUUCUUCUUCUUCUUCUUCUUCUUCUUCUUCUUCUUCUUGUUCUUGUUCUUCUUCUUCUUCUUCUUCUUCUUUCUUCUCCUUCUCCUUCUUUUCUUCUUCUUCUUUUUGUGAGACAAGGUCUGUCUGUCACCCAGGCUGGAGUGCAAUGGCAUGAUCACAGCUCACUGCAGCCUUAACCUCCUGAGCUCAGGUUAUCCUCCCACUUAAGCCUCCCAAGUAGCUGGGACUACAGGUGUAUGCCACCACACCUGGCUAAUUUUUUAAUUUUUUGCAGAGAUGGGGUUUUGCCACAUUGCUCAGGCUGGUCUCAAACUCCUGAGCUCAAGUGAUCCUCCUGCCUCCAUCUCCCAAAGUGCUGGGAUUAUAGGCUGGUUCUCUUCUUGACAUUAUAAUUUCUGUUGGUCCCAGCUCACCUCCCCAGGCUGAUAUCUGCUACAGAUGCUCACUCAACUCAGUGGGCCCUGACAUCACUGCAGGCUUUUUCCUGGGGUUCCAUAUCAAUAAAGUAUUUGAUUGGAGGCUACAGGACUAAGUAGAGAGAAGGGAUUGGUCAGAGGGAAGAGAAGGAACUGUAUUCCAAACUAGUGGAGGUUGCUAGCUUAACUCAGUUCUCUCUAUUUUUCUUUCUCAUUAGAGUCACUUCCUGUAUGCAUAGGGCUCCCCCAGGGUUGUCUUUCCCCCUUAGUUUGCAGAUCAUCCUGGCUAUUUAUGUUGGAUGCAGAGGUGGAGUUUGAUAACUCUUUGUGGUGUCUCCUAAUCCAGGAUCAUAAGUCCUGUGUUUAGCAGACAUUCCUUUGCAUCCGUGGUAUUUGGUUGAGUACGUGUAUAGGCCCCUUUAUUUAAAUUAUUUUACCCAAGAGGUGGUUUUAAAUGAAUUCAGGUUUUGGAUGAAUUCUUAGAGCAUCAAAUAUCAUUGCAAAUGUGAUUACUAAACCAUUGUUGAUAAUGUUUUUGAGGUCAUAGAGAACUAGAGACGGGACACAAAACAGAAGAUUGACAAAUGUUGAAUGUUUUUCACAAAGGUGAGAUGGAUGGCAUGUGAAAAUUGCAAACUGAUGAGUGUGACAUCUCUUACCAAUAAGAUACAAGAAUGGACUGACUACUAAGUAGACAGUUUCUGCACACUACAUGGUUUCUUAAGGAAUAGCUCAUGCCAAAUGACCUAGUCUGUUUCUACGUGCUUAUUAGAGUCAAGGAUCAGGAAGUACUAUGGGCGUGGCUCCUCCUGAAUACAGUGAGACAUUUGAAGAAGUUUCUUUUGAAAUCUUAGUAGAUAAGAUGGAAAAAUGUGAGUUGGCUACGGUUAAUUAGGUGGAUUUGUAACUGGCUGAACAACUAUACCUAAAGGACAUUGACAAAAUAUUUUUUAAUCAACAACUCACAGAAAUAUUUAUGACAUGCAUAUCAUCAUUUGCAAAUGAUGCCAAAUUGCAAGGGAUAGCUAAUAAUUUGAAUGACCGACAAAGUUAGGAUUCUAAAGUAUUUUGCUAGACUGGAACUUGGAUUAAAGCUGAAAACAACAAAGUGAAUGGAGAUAGUGUGGAGUUUUUCCUUCAGGUGUAAAAAAAGAAAUUGUAUAAGCACAGGAAGAAUAGACGUGAGUUAGCAGUAAUCCCUUGCAUUAGUUGGGGAUACCUUUGGCUGCAAGUAACAAAAAUAUCUGAUUCGGGAUGGAUAAGGCAAUUUAUCAUCUCCUGUAACAAAGAGACAGGAAAAGGAACUGUGGGUGUGAAAGCUUUACUUCUCUGAGAUACUCCAAGCUAGCAGUUGUCAACCAGAGCAGUUUUACCCCCAGGGGACAUUUGACUAUACCUAGAGACAUUUUUGGUUGUCACAACUGGUAAGGUGGGAGUAUGCUACUGGCAUUUAGUGGAUCGAGGAGAUGCCAUGGAUGCUGCUAAACAUCCCACAAUGUGCAGGAUAACUCCCACAACAAAGAAAUACCUGGCCCAAAAUGUCAGUAGUUUAAGACUGAGAAGCACUAAUUUACAGUAAUCCAGAUCUACUGCCUGGAGGCUUCCCUGAAGUCACAUGGGGGAAGGGUGGAUAGCUGAGCAAAAUUGGGAAUUGUUAGGAAGGAAGAAAGGAGGGAUGGACAUUGGAGGAUCCAUAAAGAUACUACAUUCAUGUUAAAAAUAUUUUUUAAAGUCUACCAUAAAGAUACUACAUUCAUAUUAAAAAUAUUUUUUUAUCGAUUAUGAGCCAAGGUCACUGCCAGCCCAGAGAAGAUCUUUGUAUGAUUUAGAAAAGACACCCACCUUCCUCAGCAACUUUACUGCCAUCUACUGGAAAAUUACUGAAGGAAAUACAUAAAUCUACAAUAGAUUGUAAAUAGAGCCCCCUAGAGUUGUGCCACACAUAACCUCACAAUAAUUUAAAGCAUCCCUUCUGUGAGUCUAACAUGAUCCAGCUAUAUAAAAUGGCUGUCAAAGAAGUAGUUUAGGACUUUACCAACAGGAACUAUAUGUCCCAAGUAAGGAAGGUCAAAAUCUCACCAUAUCCUCCAUUGGUCACACCACAGCUGGAAUUCUUGAUAAAUUCUUUGUUUCAUAGUUGAAGAAUUUUUUUUAAGUGACCAAAGAAAGUUGGACUGGAGGAAGAAGAGUCAAGGAGUCAUAAUAUAUGAGAAGCAUGUGUGGAGGAGGGAAGAAACUAGAGCCGGUGAAGAAACACUAAAAGUGAACUGGAGCAUUAUCUCCAAGUAUAUGAAGGGUCUUAAGGGGAAUAGAGACCAGACUAAAUCUGUGUUUCUCCAAAGGGCAAAACUGGGUCCAAUGUGUGAAAUCACAGACCCAUGAGAUAUGUCUGGAAGUGACAUUGGUGGUCAACUAAUCAAACCCGUUUUUCAAACAUCCCUCCUACAGUACUUCCACAGCAGCUACCCUGCCACCACACCUUCAGCAAAGCGGCAAUCCUGUGAUCUUUUGGUGAUGCUGGAGUGUUUCACACUGUGUAGAGAUUUGCUCUACACAAUAAAGGAAGUUUCACAACCAAGGUUUCCAUCCAAUGGCUUCAAGUAGAAGAUGGACCACCAUUGGUCAGCGAUCAGAUCCCUCGUCCAUCAAAUGAAAGAGUUAAACCUAGAAGAUCUCUAAGUUAUUUCCUGCUAUCCAAGUGGAUUAUAGUCUCUGGGCUACAAAAGUAAGAGUUUGAUGUUGCUGCCAAGCUUUUCUUCUCAUUUCCUCACCCUCCUUGUACACGUUUGCACGAUUUGGCACUUGAUUUUACCAUAAUUAAUUUAAUCAGCUCCCAACUAGCGAACCUUUAGUGUGUUUCCAAUUUUUCAUUAUUACAAACCAUACUGCAAUAAACAUUCUUAUAUAUUACUUUGGGGCACUUGUGUAAAUAUUUUUAUGGGUUAAGUUCCCAGGAAUGGAAUUGUUGAGUAAAAGGGAUAGACAUUUCAAACUUAAUCUCCCUUAAUGAUUUGCAUUAAUUUACUCACACCAGUACUGGACAAUUGCACUCAUUCAUUUAUGUCAAACCGAAAAAUUUGUAUUUAAAUUUUUACUUGUUUGAUUAUUAGUGAAGUUAAUAUUGUGAAUUAUUAGUUAGGCAUUGAUUUCUAUGAAUUGCUCCUCUUCAUAAUCUUUGUCCAUUUUUCUAUGAGUUAUCAGUAUUUUGUAAAAGUUCUUUAUAUGUUGUGGAUAUUAAUGACUCAUUCAGAUGUAUAUAUAUUCAAAUGUUAUUUCUAGUUUUGAAUAUGCCUUCUUAGAUCUAUUUAGAUCUUUCACUUUAGAAAAGUUUUAAUAAAAUCUGACAAUGUUUUAUGUUACAAAUUUUAGGUUUUAAGUUAUGCUUGAAAAGCUAUUUCAAAUGGAAAGAUUAUGCAGAUAUUCUGUAAUACUUUAUGAUAUGAUGUUUUAUAUUUCUUAGUCUGAAUUUUUAAAUGCACUGUCAAUUUAUUAUGUACCUUAUUUUUUUAAAUGAAUAUCCAAAUAUUCUUACCAUAUUUAUUUUUUAAAAACCCUCUUUUAAGGCCGAGCGUGGUGGCUCAAGCCUGUAAUCCCAGCACUUUGGGAGGCCAAGGCGGGUGGAUCACGAGGUCAAGAGAUCGAGACCAUCGUGGUCAACAUGGUGAAACCCCGUCUCUACUAAAAAGAUACAAAAAAUUAGCUUGGCAUGGUGGCGCGUGCCUGUAAUCCCAGCUACUUGGGAGGCUGAGGCAGGAGAAUUGCCUGAACCCAGGAGGCGGAGGUUGCAGUGAGCCGAGAUCGCGCCAUUGCACUCCAGUCUGGGUAGCAAGAGUGAAACUCCGUCUCAAAAAAAAAAAAAAAAAACCCUCUUUUAUUAUAAUUGCCACUUAUUUACAUAUUUACUUCCCAUUUGUUAUGUGUAUCUAUUCUUACACUUUCAAUUCUCUUCCAUUCAGCAACUUUUCUUUUUUUGUACCUCUAUCAUACAAUUUUCAAUACUGUGGUUUUAUGGUGCUUUUUGAGUGCUCAUAGAAUAAUUUCCCUCUUAAUUUUCUUCUUUUACAAAAAAUAGAAUUGAUUUUUUCUUGGAAUUUAAUUAAAUUAAUGGAGCAAUUUGGGAAUAAGUAAUAUUUUUAUACAAUUAAAUCUACCAAUCCAAGAACUGGUGUCUGUUCUUACUAACUCAAAUAUUCUAUAUCUUUGAAGAAAAUUGUUUAAUUUUUAUAUAUGUCUUAUACAUUUCUAAAAUAUAUUACUAGUUAUUUUGUAGUUAAGCAUGCUCUUUGAAGGAUUUUAUUAAAAUUUUAAUUUUCUAACAGGUUUUUGUUGGUAUGUAGGAAGUCUAUGGAUUUUUGGUUUUUUAAUAUAAAUUUAAUCUGGAUGCUUCGUAGAUCUCACUGUUUACAUACUUGACUGAUUCUCUUGGAUAUGUUGUUUAUUCAUGUUAUCCACAAUAAUGAUGAUUUUUCCUUUUUAAUUUACUUUAUGUAGUUCUUUACUUGACUUUUUCAUUGUUUUGGCUAGAACCUUCAGAACAAUGAUAAAUAAUAGCAGUGAUGGUGAGCAUCUUUGCCUUAUUCUUUAUUUUAGUGGUGUUUCUAGUGUUUCACCAUUAAGGAUGAAGUUCAAUGAUUUUAUAAUACUUGUGUCUAUUUAAUAAACUCUCUUUAUUCUCAUGAUUUACUGGAAGAUUUAUCAAGAACAGAAUUUGAAUUGUGCCAAAUAAGAUUUUGUCAAUCUGUUGAAAAGAUCACCAUUUUUUUUCUUUAACUAGUAAUACAAAUGUAUGGAUAUCUACUACUGAACCAGACUUGAGCUUCUAAAAUGCUUAGUCAUGAUUUUUUAUCUUUUAAUACAUCGUUUUACUGAAAUUUUCAAUAAUUUAUUUUAGAUUUUUACACUUCCAUAAAUUGUUGGCACCAUCUUUGUCAGAUUUUAGUAUCAAGGUUACAUUAGUCUUAUAAAAUUGCUCAGUAAGGGCUUCAUCUCUAAGUAUAGAUAACAAAUAUUUGCUCUAUGGAGAUGUGACAGAUCUCACUUAUAAAACCAUCUGCCCUGAGGUAUUCAGGGUGUUACGUAUUUUAUUAUCUUUGCCCUUUCUUCUGUGAUUAUUGUUCUUUCAGAUCAUCUGCCUUUUCUUCAGCCAUUUUUGCUACUUAUAUUAGUGGUCAUUUCGUCUAGAAUUUCAACUUCACUGAAAUAAGUAUGUGAUAUUAAUUUUUUUAAAAUUCCCUCUGCAUAAGUAGUUAUAUCUUGAUAAGGUUAGGCUGUGUUCCUACCCAAGUCUCAUCUUGAAUUGCAGCUCCCAUAAUUCCCAUAUGCUGUGGGAGGGACCUAGUGGGAGGUAAUUGAAUCAUGGGGGCAAUUUUCCCCUUAACUGUUCUCUUAGUGAAUAAGUCUCAUGAGAUCUGACAGUUUUAUAAAGGAUUUCCCCUUUCACUUGAUUCUCAUGCUCUCUUGCCUGCCUCUACGUAAAAUGUGUCUUUCACCUUCCACCAUGAUCCCAUGUGGAACUGUGACUUCA